rnacentral:rRNA from 1 species
UACGUAGGGGGCAAGCGUUGUCCGGAAUCAUUGGGCGUAAAGCGCGUGUAGGCGGUCCGGUAAGUCCGCUGUGAAAGUCGGGGGCUCAACCCUCGGAUGCCGGUGGAUACUGUCGGGCUUGAGUACGGAAGAGGCGAGUGGAAUUCCUGGUGGUAGCGGUGAAAUGCGCAGAUAUCAGGAAGAACGACCCGUGGCUAAGGCGGCUCUCUAGUACGGUACUGACGCUGAGACGCGAAAGCGUGGGGAGCAAACAG